CUUAGCUUGCUAAGGCCGAUGGCGACCGGCGCACGGGUGAGUAACACGUAUCCAACCUGCCGUCUACUCUUGGACAGCCUUCUGAAAGGAAGAUUAAUACAAGAUGGCAUCAUGAGUCCGCAUGUUCACAUGAUUAAAGGUAUUCCGGUAGACGAUGGGGAUGCGUUCCAUUAGAUAGUAGGCGGGGUAACGGCCCACCUAGUCUUCGAUGGAUAGGGGUUCUGAGAGGAAGGUCCCCCACAUUGGAACUGAGACACGGUCCAAACUCAUACGGGAGGCAGCAGUGAGGAAUAUUGGUCAAUGGGCGAGAGCCUGAACCAGCCAAGUAGCGUGAAGGAUGACUGCCCUAUGGGUUGUAAACUUCUUUUAUAAAGGAAUAAAGUCGGGUAUGCAUACCCGUUUGCAUGUACUUUAUGAAUAAGGAUCGGCUAACUCCGUGCCAGCAGCCGCGGUAAUACGGAGGAUCCGAGCGUUAUCCGGAUUUAUUGGGUUUAAAGGGAGCGUAGAUGGAUGUUUAAGUCAGUUGUGAAAGUUUGCGGCUCAACCGUAAAAUUGCAGUUGAUACUGGAUAUCUUGAGUGCAGUUGAGGCAGGCGGAAUUCGUGGUGUAGCGGUGAAAUGCUUAGAUAUCACGAAGAACUCCGAUUGCGAAGGCAGCCUGCUAAGCUGCAACUGACAUUGAGGCUCGAAAGUGUGGGUAUCAAACA
rnacentral:rRNA from 1 species